AAAUAUCUGGGUUCCUAUAUGCCAUUUUGGAAAAGUAGAGUAUGGAAAAAUAUUGGCAUUUCCAGACAUUUGCCCCAAUUUAGUUUUCCAUGAUAGAAAAUUAAGAAUUAUUUAAUGAAAUUAUAUUUAUCAUGGCACCUGUUUAGUGAUUUUUUAGUGAUUGUCAAACAUGACUGAAUAAAUUCAAUUUUGAGUUUGUUCUCAAGAUAUUAUUAGCACCGUAUUACAGAGCCUCUAAAAAGACCUUUGCAAAAAGAAUAAAAUAUUCAGACUUUUGUGUGCGCACAAGAAACCAUUAAACUUAGCAUAUAGGACAAUGCACACUGAGCCACCUAUUGUUGUGGCAAAUUCACAAUCUUUGGUUCAGGUCUCAGAAGAAUUAACUUUAUUGACAAGCAACAAAGUGAGAUGCCAGCUGGCCAUCUGAUCUUUCAUGGGCCAGUGCUCUAGUCUUAUACCUUUUUCUUAUUGUUGGUGUCCAAUUAGCGUUCGUAUUACUAUCCUUUUACACAAUGGGCAUUUGUAUUAUUAUCCUUUUCUGGCACAUCGUUACAUUGUAUAUAAUAUGUUUCUCUUCCAGUGCUUCCCAACACCUGCAUCUCUACUACAAGUUUUUUGGGUACUUUUCCACUCUCUUGUCCCUGUCCUCAUGUGCCCUAUCCUCACAUUCAGACUCAUGUAUAAGACAGAUGAAAUAUGAAAUUCUCCAACACUAUCAGCCCAUUUCGCUGCGUGGUUUCUUGGCCGUCACAGAGUAUGCGUUAAAGCAGACCUAAGGCCUUGAAAUAUGACGUACUG